UCUAAAUUUGUUCCUCCCUCUGUCUCUCUCUCUCUAAACAUCUUCCUCAACCUUUCCUUUCUCCCCACUUGAUUCUUCUUGUUUUCUAUUCGCUCUAGGUUUGAAUAUAUUGCGCCUCGCUUUCCUACCUCACUUAUAAUACAUUUCUUUCAUUUUUUAUACUGUUUUUGCUGUUCCAAUAUUAUUAUUAUUUUUCUUGGUUUCCUGUUUCCUUCUCUGCUCUAGUGUAUGUAGUAUGGCUGGUUUAGAUUUAAGCUCAGCUUCCCACUUCGUCUCUCCGCUCCACCGCCCCAACCUCCACCUCCACCGCCCCCCUGAAUCCGACGAUAUCGACUCCAACCCCAAGCAGUUCUCCGGCGACAACUCCGACCUCGCCACCUCCGCCGGCGAGGCGGCGGCCCGCCGCCAGCGCGGCCGCCCCGCCGGCUCGAAGAACAAGCCGAAGCCGCCCGUGAUCAUCACGCGCGAGAGCGCCAACACCCUCCGCGCCCACAUACUGGAGGUGGCCAGCGGCUGCGACGUCUUCGAGGCCGUCGCCGCCUACGCCACCAGGCGGCAGCGCGGGAUCUGCAUUCUCAGCGGCACCGGCACCGUCACCAACGUCAGCCUCCGGCAGCCGGCCUCCGCGGGGAGCGUCGCCUCGCUCCACGGCCGCUUCGAGAUCCUGUCCCUGUCUGGCUCGUUCCUGCCCCCGCCGGCGCCGCCGGGCGCCACCAGCCUCACGAUAUACCUAGCCGGCGGGCAGGGGCAGGUCGUGGGCGGGAAUGUGGUGGGGGCGCUGAUGGCGUCGGGGCCGGUCAUCAUCAUAGCGGCGUCGUUCACCAACGUGGCCUACGAGCGGCUGCCGUUGGAGGAGGAGGAGGAGCCCGGAGUUCAGAUGCAGCCGCCCGAGGGAGGGAUUCAGUUCCCUGAUCCCUCCCUCGGGCUGCCUUUCUUCAACGGGCAGCUCCCCGUUGACGGUGCAUGGGCGGCUGCCCGCCCGCCGCCGUAUUAGGGUUAAUAAGGUGUAGUAUCAAUAGGGAUGGAGUAGUUGCAUAAAGGUGAAAUUCCAAUUCGUUUUUCGGCUGAACCUAAUUGGAAUUCGGAUCGCCGUUCGACAAAACGGCGUUAUAAUCAGAGAACUCCAAAGCUCUUGACUCAGCUCACUCACCGAUGAGACGCCGCGAAAUCGACAGGAGCAGACUGAUCGCUUUGAGCAUCACUUAUUUGGAGUGGUAAUUAUCGACGAAGACGAUCUCGUGGAGCUCCGUGCCUGCUUCGAAUUUGGAUUCGAUUUUGAUUACACGGAUUUGGAUUCGAAGCUAGGAGGCGGCGGUGGUUAAUAGGGAUGUGAAUCGGGCCAACCCAUCGGAUUUCGGGGCAACUUUAUUGAGUUGUCAGAUUAUUUGAGUGCAGGUUAAUCGAGUUGAAAUUUUUUCAGGUCACAGAUUUUGAACCGAUUGACAUUUUUGGCGAUGGAUACCAUCACUGCGAUCAGUGAAUUAAAGUGCUACUGCAUCGAGGAUGAGCUUCGAAUUCAUGGUGGAGAAAAAGAGAGAAAAAAGAAAUCGGCGAAUAGAGAAGAAAGAGUGUAUUGAAAAAUUAAUAUAGGAGCAUAAUUGUAUUUUUAUUUAAAAUUUGAUUAAUUAUUAAGUUAAUUUUAUCUUAAUAUAUAUUUUUUAUUUUUAUUA